GCUGCAGCAAGGUCCUUCUCCCUCAGCCAGUGGGAGAGCUCCUCAGAGACAGGGUGUCCACCUCACACCCUUCAACCCCCAGCACCCAGCCCUCCGUGGGGGCUCUCUGCAGUUUGUGGUCCAGGUUCUGUUCUCAGGACAAGCACAAUCACCAACAGGCAUCAGCUGCGCUGGCUCCUGGAAGUCAGCCCUGCGCCACGCCCCUGAGCAGGUAAAGGUCGGGUUUCAGGAGAAUGGUGAGGAAUGGGAUGAUGACUAGAGAGGCAGUCGAGCUGGCAGAGGAUAGAGGGACAGAGAGCCAGUCAGGGCGGCUCUCACGAGCGGGACCACCUGCUCCUCCUCCUGACCAUGGCUGGAGCCUGGGUCCCUGAAGUCACCAGACCUGCAGUUCUGUUGAUUUUUGACACAGGAUCAAAGAAGCCCAUGCUCCUUCAACCAGAGCUGAGACCUGCACCAGUGCUGGAGAGCAAGAAUUCCAAACUUCAAAACUAAGCAGUCUCUGAAGAAUGGAGAUGGCAGGCGUUCUGCUCCCUUACAGCAGCUGGUAGAAUCAAGACCCAUGGGUCCAUGGAGGAAAAGGGGAAGAGCCUCUGUCCUUUGGACCCCUGAUCCCGGGGUUUCCUCUCACACUCCCAUCAUCGCCGUCUCCUCUGUGUGCUGUGCUUAUCAGCCCUGUGGGCUCCAUGGACAUCUCAUGUGCCUGGGAGGCUGCUCUCCUUGUCCUGUGGAUCCAGUUCUUGGCAGCCCCACUCUCAGGAGCACAGGAGUCCUGAGAGCCUCCUUCUGCCCAUCCAGAUGCCCACACACCUGACCAGGAGUGCACUGCUUGUUCUGACAUAAAAAAUGGACUUGAUUUGUUGGCAGAUAUGGGGCAUGGGCCAUGUGGCCAGUCCCCGCCUGCUCUGAGACUGGGAGGCUGUGGACCAGUGAAGCCCAAGAGAGAAGCAUGAAGCUGGAGGAGAAAACAAGGCAGGAGAAAGGCCCUGGGUUCAGGUGCAUGAGGGCAUGAAUGAAC
rnacentral:lncRNA from 1 species